rnacentral:rRNA from 1 species
AUCCAAACGAAAGCAAAGAGGGCACGGCCAAGAGACAAAAGGAACGCCAGGGCCAGCAUCCUCAUCAUCAUCAAAAA